rnacentral:piRNA from 1 species
UUGUAAUGUAGAUGGUAUGAAUGGGA